GACGAACGCUGGCGGCGUGCUUAACACAUGCAAGUCGAGCGGUAAGGCCUCUUCGGGGGUACACGAGCGGCGAACGGGUGAGUAACACGUGGGUGACCUGCCCUCAGCUCUGGGAUAAGCCUGGGAAACUGGGUCUAAUACCGGAUAUGACCACAUGUUGCAUGGUGUGUGGUGGAAAGUUUUUUCGGCUGGGGAUGGGCCCGCGGCCUAUCAGCUUGUUGGUGGGGUGAUGGCCUACCAAGGCGACGACGGGUAGCCGGCCUGAGAGGGCGACCGGCCACACUGGGACUGAGACACAGCCCAGACUCCUACGGGAGGCAGCAGUGGGGAAUAUUGCGCAAUGGGCGGAAGCCUGACGCAGCGACGCCGCGUGGGGGAUGACGGCCUUCGGGUUGUAAACCUCUUUCGACCGGGACGAAGCGUAAGUGACGGUACCGGUAGAAGAAGCACCGGCCAACUACGUG
rnacentral:rRNA from 1 species